CCCGCUGAACUUAAGCAUAUCAGUAAGCGGAGGAAAAGAAACUAACAAGGAUUCCCCUAGUAACGGCGAGUGAAGCGGGAAAAGCUCAAAUUUAAAAUCUGGCGUGCCUUUGGUCGCCCGAGUUGUAGUCUAGAGAGGCGCUUUCUGUGCUGGACUGUGUAAAAGUUUUUUGGAACAAAGCAUCAUAGAGGGUGAGAAUCCCGUCUUUGACACAGACUCCCAGUGCUAUGUGAUGCGUCUUCAAAGAGUCGAGUUGUUUGGGAGUGCAGCUCAAAAUGGGUGGUAAAUUCCAUCUAAAGCUAAAUAUUGGCGAGAGACCGAUAGCGAACAAGUACCGUGAGGGAAAGAUGAAAAGCACUUUGGAAAGAGAGUUAAACAGUACGUGAAAUUGUUGAAAGGGAAGCGCUUGAAGUCAGUCGCGUUUACCAGGACUCAGCCUUGCCUCUAGCUUGGCGCACUUCCUGGUCAACGGGCCAGCAUCAAUUUUGACCAUUGGAAAAAGGCUCAUGGGAAGGUGGCAUCUCCGGAUGUGUUAUAGCCCCGAGUCAUAUACUUUGGUUGGGAUUGAGGAACUCAGCAUGCCCUUGUGGUCGGGGGUUUACCCCACGUAUCAUGCUUAGGAUGCUGGCGUAAUGGCUUUAAGCGACCCGUCUUGAAACACGG
rnacentral:rRNA from 1 species